UAAGCAUAUCAAUAAGCGGAGGAAAAGAAACCAACAGGGAUUGCCCUAGUAACGGCGAGUGAAGCGGCAACAGCUCAAAUUUGAAAUCUGGCUCUUUCAGGGUCCGAGUUGUAAUUUGCAGAGGGCGCUUUGGCUUUGGCAGCGGUCCAAGUUCCUUGGAACAGGACGUCACAGAGGGUGAGAAUCCCGUACGUGGUCGCUAGCUAUUGCCGUGUAAAGCCCCUUCGACGAGUCGAGUUGUUUGGGAAUGCAGCUCUAAAUGGGAGGUAAAUUUCUUCUAAAGCUAAAUAUUGGCCAGAGACCGAUAGCGCACAAGUAGAGUGAUCGAAAGAUGAAAAGCACUUUGGAAAGAGAGUCAAACAGCACGUGAAAUUGUUGAAAGGGAAGCGCUUGCAGCCAGACUUGCUUGCAGUUGCUCAUCCGGGCUUUUGCCCGGUGCACUCUUCUGCAGGCAGGCCAGCAUCAGUUUGGGCGGUGGGAUAAAGGUCUCUGUCACGUACCUCUCUUCGGGGAGGCCUUAUAGGGGAGACGACAUACCACCAGCCUGGACUGAGGUCCGCGCAUCUGCUAGGAUGCUGGCGUAAUGGCUGUAAGCGGCCCGUCUUGAAACACGGACCAAGGAGUCUAACAUCUAUGCGAGUGUUUGGGUGUCAAGCCCGAGCGCGUAAUGAAAGUGAACGGAGGUGGGAACCCGCAAGGGCGCACCAUCGACCGAUCCUGAAGUUUACGGAAGGAUUUGAGUAAGAGCAUGGCUGUUGGGACCCGAAAGAUGGUGAACUAUGCUUGAAUAGGGUGAAGCCAGAGGAAACUCUGGUGGAGGCUCGCAGCGGUUCUGACGUGCAAAUCGAUCGUCAAAUUUGGGCAUAGGGGCGAAAGACUAAUCGAACUAUCUAGUAGCUGGUUCCUGCCGAAG
rnacentral:rRNA from 1 species